rnacentral:lncRNA from 1 species
AUAUUUUAUGAUGUAUUUAAAUGAGUAGUUAUUGUUGCAAACUCCAUUAGAAAUUUGAAUUGAGAUCAGUUUUGAAAUAAGGGAAAGGGGGAUGUGAAAAAAAAAUUGGGGGGGGGUUCAAUUUUUUUCAUUUCAAAUUUCAUAAAUAAAAAGAAAAUUUCUUCAAACAUUUUUUUGAGAGGAUUAAUAUUCAACAGCAUAGUGAAUUGCUCAAAGGCAAACAUUUUUUUUAAGUUCAUUAGACCACAUUCAUUCUGUGUCAGAAACCUAUGCUGUGUCAACUAUUUAAUCACAAUCCAAAUUUAGAGCUGAAUCCAGCUUGAAUGUUGUGUCCAUACUUGCCCCAAC